UCUUAACACGUCAAGAACAUUGGAUAAAAUUUGAAUGAUACUAAGAAAAUUAGCAUGGCCCUCGCAAAGGUGAUACGAACAAAUCGAGAAAUCAUCCAAAUAUAC